rnacentral:rRNA from 1 species
GACGAACGCUGACGGCGUGCUUAACACAUGCAAGUCGAACGCUGAAGCUUGGUGCUUGCACUGGGUGGGUGAGUGGCGAACGGGUGAGUAAUAAGUGAGUAACCUGCCCUUGACUCUGGGAUAAGCCUGGGAAACUGGGUCUAAUACUGGAUACGACAUGUCACCGCAUGGUGGUGUGUGGAAAGGGGUUGACUGGUUUUGGAUGGGCUCACGGCCUAUCAGCUUGUUGGUGGGGUAAUGGCUCACCAAGGCGACGACGGGUAGCCGGCCUGAGAGGGUGACCGGCCACACUGGGACUGAGACACGGCCCAGACUCCUACGGGAGGCAGCAGUGGGGAAUAUUGCACAAUGGGCGGAAGCCUGAUGCAGCGACGCCGCGUGAGGGAUGACGGCCUUCGGGUUGUAAACCUCUUUCAGCACGGAAGAAGCGAAAGUGACGGUACGUGCAGAAGAAGCGCCGGCUAACUACGUG